AAUUAAGAAUUUAAUGCCAAUGGCAUGCCAUUGUAAAUAAGUUCCAACUAUACGAUUUAUUUUACAAAAUGGCUGCAAAAAUGUAUAUGUAGAUUUAAUUACAGUUUUUGAAUUGUCUAGUCAUGAUGUAAACUCUUAAA
rnacentral:sRNA from 1 species